rnacentral:rRNA from 1 species
ACCCGCUGAACUUAAGCAUAUCAAUAAGCGGAGGAAAAGAAACUAACAAGGAUUCCCCUAGUAACGGCGAGUGAAGCGGGAACAGCUCAAAUUUGAAAUCUCACAGGGUUACCUGUGCGAAUUGUAGUUUAUAGAAACGUUUUCGGGGGUGGCUCUGGCAUAAGUCCCUUGGAAUAAGGCAUCAUAGAGGGUGAGAAUCCCGUAUUUGGUGAGAUGCCCGCUCCUAUGUGAUACGUUUUCUAAGAGUCGGUUUGUUUGGGAAUGCAGACCAAAAUGGGUGGUAAAUACCAUCUAAAGCUAAAUAUUGGCGAGAGACCGAUAGCGAACAAGUACCGUGAGGGAAAGAUGAAAAGAACUUUGAAAAGAGAGUUAAAAGUACGUGAAAUUGUCAAAAGGGAAACGCUUGAAACCAGUAUUGCUUGCAGGUAAUCAGCCAUCCCUUUUGGGUUGGUGCACUUGCCUGUUUGCGGGUCAACAUCAGUUUGAUCCGGGAUAAAAAGCCUGGAGAAGGUAGCCCCUCGGGGUGUUAUAGCUUCAGGUCAUGUCCUGGGUUGGACUGAGGUCUGCAAGUGUUAUUUGGGUAGCCAGUCGCCUCUUGAAACUGCGUUGCAAGACAGCAUGCUGACUGUAAUUCAGGCUAGGGAGCACGGUUGGGAUUCCACACCAACACUUAGGAUGUUGACGAAAUGGUUUUAAACGACCCGUCUUGAAACACGG